AGGAAAGGUAAUACAUGGGCGUUAAAAACCUCUGCUACAACUUACAGAACUAAAGAGCAGCUGAUCAAAAUCUGGACCAGUUAGGAGAAGAGAGUGUUCACAGUCAGCCGGGGGAACUGAGUCAUUCAUUCAUCAGAAAUGCAUGAAUGUCUACCAAGUGUGAUUUUUAUGUUCUGAGGGUGAUAACAACGUGUGUCAGACAUCUCUCUCUUCUGGCAUGUCACACAUUGGUCUGUAAUUGUGACAUUUUUAUCUCCUCGAAAUAGACAGCAUCUCCUGUCUGCAUCUCCUGGCAACAGAAUUCUCCCUCCCUAUGGGAAGCCCUCCUCAGGAGGGCCUCCUCUCACAAGCUGGUACAACCGGAGAACCUCUCCACCAUCAGCUAGCUUCCUCCCUCAUCCACAUACAUUCAUCUAAGGAUGGGUGUGUGACCGAGACAGGUCAAGCAGAAUACUUCUCUGGGGUUAUUAUAUAAAGAAGGACAGAUAAGCAUUCUAUUUCUUGUGGGGAGGGUUUCUCUUCCUAGUAGACAAUGAAGCCAAACUGAAGACACAAACCACAAUAGCAAACCAGCUGGUCCCUGGAGCAGCUGGGAUUCCGGCUGCUCUGCAUUCUGGGAUUUACCCCCAGCAUCCUCUCAAUUUAGGCUAGUAAUUUUACUACCUUAAACUAGUAAAAGUUGAUUUUCUGUCACUCACAGCUCAGAGUCACAGUAUGAGAGGCCAUAUGUAGGAGGUUUUAUUUGGACUUGACAUUGACUAAGGCCAGAGAAAAAUUAAGAAAGAUUUUCUAGGCCAGAGGGUGGCAAACCGUGGCCCAUAGGCCAAAUCCAGCCCGCUGGAUCUGAAUGACUGCUUUUUAUGUGUUUAAAUGAUUACAUUUAAGUGGUUAUAGAAAUAACAUAAUAUUUUCAAUUUUGCCUCUUAGGACUCAAAUUAUAAAAUAUUUACUCUUGGACCAUUUUCAGAAAAGGUUAGACAACCCUAUUACUAGGCAGAAAGAACACCCAGUAAAUUAAAUGUGUAAAUAGAAAGGAAGUACUAUUAGAAAUGUAGUUUUGUGAGGAUUUUUAACUUGCCUGCCUCCUGUGACUUUUUUUUAAACUUCCUGUGGUCAUAGAGAAUAUUUAUAAUAGCAGUAUUGUCUGUUUCCCUCCCCAAAACCCAUUGUCUUCACUGCUCUGUCAUGCUCUGCCCUCAGAGGCUGACAUUUAUGAAUAUAUCACCAGGGCCUCCUUGCCCUGUGGCUUCUUCCUUUUGAGUUAGACGAACACACAGCACUGGCAGAAGAUCAAAAAAGGGAGGAGAGAAAUAUCAGUGCCCCUUCAGGCCUAGGAUAGUAAUGGCUUCACUGCUGUUCCCUUAACCAUACCCACGCCUUGGUACAUAAGGACCCAGGAGAGGAGAGAAAAAUAAUGAGGCAGGAAAAAAAAACAACCCUUGAGAAAAUAAUGGUUGAAAGUUUCCCAGAUUUUAUUUCAAAACCUCAGUCUACAGGUCCAAGAAGCUCAGGAAACCGCAAGAAGGAGAAAUACAAAGAAAAAGCACUUAGACCACUCUAGUCAAAAUGGACAGCAACCACAGAGGAACAGAAAAUCUUCAAAGCAUCUAAAGAAACAUGGCAUUUUUUUGUUGUUUGUUUUGUUUUUGCGGUACGCGGGUCUCUCACUGCUGUGGCCUCUCCCGUUGCGGAGCAUAGGCUCCGGACG